rnacentral:lncRNA from 1 species
UUGGCUUGACAUCUUUGACAGUGACUGUGGACUGAAACUGGAUUGCGUUCUGAGUGGCCUUACCAAAUUCGUAGGUCUUUGUUGUUUCAGUCCCAAUAGUCAGCGUAAACGUAGCACUUGCAACUUCAGGCUUCCCAGCGGUUAAAGACACGCUUGUGUUCAUAGAAAAGGUGUCAGAGGUGCUCCACGUUUGGCUGGUGGUCAGUGUUUGAGACAAGGUAACCUGCGCUUGUAAAUCUGCCGUCUUUUCACCGUCGUUCUUCAAGUAGCUGCGGCCAACCACCAGGGCUUCAAUCUCCCGCACUUCGGCCAACUCGAGCAGAUACUUUACAUCAAAUAUGCUUGUGUGCGACACAGCCUUGCUCACUUCCAGGUGGGUCUCUUUAUCGUUGAUGCUGUCGGCAAUGGCACAUAGGGAACUCACCCAAUAAUCAGUGUAGCGCUUGCACAACUUUUGGUUGACUGUCGAACGGAAGGCUACAAGUUUAUCGCUGAGUUUGAUAGGCUCGAACAAACACGCCGGAGUGGU